CACGUAGGGUGCGAGCGUUGUCCGGAAUUAUUGGGCGUAAAGAGCUCGUAGGCGGUGUGUCGCGUCGGCCGUGAAAACCUGCAGCUUAACCGUGGGCUUGCGGUCGAUACGGGCAUCACUGGAGUUCGGCAGGGGAGACUGGAAUUCCUGGUGUAGCGGUGAAAUGCGCAGAUAUCAGGAGGAACACCGGUGGCGAAGGCGGGUCUCUGGGCCGAUACUGACGCUGAGGAGCGAAAGCGUGGGGAGCGAACAGG
rnacentral:rRNA from 1 species